AGCUCCAAUAGCGUAUAUUAAAGUUGUUGCAGUUAAAAAGCUCCUAGUUGGACCUUAGGCAAGGCGACCUUACUCGGAUCGUUGCGCCUCACCUUCGGGGAGCUUGUCGUGCGUCGGUGCGCUAGGGAACCGAGCCUUACCUUGAGGAAAUUAGAGUGUUUAAAGCAGGCUUAUGGUUGAAUACGUUAGCAUGGAAUGACAUGGAUAGGACUUUGAUUCUAUUUUGUUGGUUUGAGGACCAAAGUAAUGAUUAAUAGGGACAGUUUGGGGCAUUAGUAUUCUAUAGUCAUCUUGAAUUUAUAGACGACCAGCUAAUGCAAAAGCAUUUGCCAAGUGUUUUUUCA
rnacentral:rRNA from 1 species